rnacentral:rRNA from 1 species
AGUGAAAACGAGUAGGACGGGACACGUGUUAUCCUGUCUGAAUAUGGGGGGACCAUCCUCCAAGGCUAAAUACUCCUGACUGACCGAUAGUGAACCAGUACCGUGAGGGAAAGGCGAAAAGAACCCCUGUGAGGGGAGUGAAAUAGAACCUGAAACCGUGUACGUACAAGCAGUAGGAGCAGGCUUGUCCUGUGACUGCGUACCUUUUGUAUAAUGGGUCAGCGACUUAAUUUUAGUAGCAAGGUUAACCGUUUAGGGGAGCCGUAGGGAAACCGAGUCUUAACUGGGCGUUCAGUUGCUAGGAUUAGACCCGAAACCAGGUGAUCUAGCCAUGGGCAGGUUGAAGGUGAGGUAACACUUACUGGAGGACCGAACCGACUAAUGUUGAAAAAUUAGCGGAUGACUUGUGGCUAGGGGUGAAAGGCCAAUCAAACCUGGAGAUAGCUGGUUCUCCCCGAAAGCUAUUUAGGUAGCGCCUCGGACGAAUACUACUGGGGGUAGAGCACUGUUAAGGCUAGGGGGUCAUCCCGACUUACCAACCCUUUGCAAACUCCGAAUACCAGUAAGUACUAUCCGGGAGACACACGGCGGGUGCUAACGUCCGUCGUGGAGAGGGAAACAACCCAGACCGCCAGCUAAGGUCCCAAAGUUAUAGCUAAGUGGGAAACGAUGUGGGAAGGCUCAGACAGCCAGGAUGUUGGCUUAGAAGCAGCCAUCAUUUAAAGAAAGCGUAAUAGCUCACUGGUCGAGUCGGCCUGCGCGGAAGAUUUAACGGGGCUAAGCUAUACACCGAAGCUGCGGCAAUGUG